UGUUUCGAGUUCCUCCGGAACACCCGGGAUUUUUCGUAUUUAGCCACGCCGGUCACGUGAUAUGAGCAAAAUGUUCCACAGGGGUACUUCCGGUUAAUUUUGUUUACACUGGUAACAAAAUUGUUUUUGACAAAAUAUAGAUUUUGCGGCACAAACUGUCGCAAAUCAGAUAAAGGAUAGCAAGGGAUAUAUAUUUACUUGGGAAGAUGUCAAAGUUUACCUUUUCCCAAACCCGGGAAAAGCGUUCACGCAGAGGAAACGAUGGCGUCAUUUGUGUAGAAAACCACGAGCAGCCGAAAUUGAGUGCGAUUAUUACAUUCCGUGAAAGCUGAACCAACAAAGAAACAUCAUUGUUCUAGCCAGUUUCCUUAUAUUAACUUUUAGGAAAACCAAGAGGUUGAUAACAAUGGCUGAUCUGCAUAUAAUGACUGCUAGUUAUUGGCUGGUAUGCAGUGAAAGGGAGCUAAAAAGGAGUAAAAAGUUCAUAUCAGCCAGGUGAGAAUUAAUUUCUUCUUUUUUGUGUGUUAUACAUAUGUAAUUCUUUUCUUUUGCUGCUUCAAAUCUUGUGUAUUUGAAAAUUUUCAGUCUAAUAUUUUGGCAAUGUUAUAGGUAGUGUGGCUUAAAUAAACCAGUGUUAAGGAAUAUCCAGUAAUGGCAUGACAUCAUGAGAGUUUGGCAUACCGACAUUCAGAUGAUUAAUGAUGAAACUGAAGACCUCAAGUGAAAGGCAUGGAAAAUGAUCCUGUUCCCAUAUACCUGAAAAAGAGGAGGGAUGCCACAAUAUUGAUAAUAGACUUUUGUCAAUUUGAGAAGCAAAGAUGUAAAAAAUAAUAAUAAAAAAAAAAAAAAAUAAUGAAAUUAUAAUUCAUGUAUUUGUUAAAAAUACUGUUCACUGUACAUACAUGUAUAUUUUUUUUUAACUUAUUUGGAAAUACAUGAAGUAAUUCAUAUUAAAACUGGGAAUGUAUGAGUUUUCAUGAUUUUUAUCAAUAAAGCUUACCAUAUUUA